AUUGAACGCUGGCUGCAUGCCUUACACAUGCAAGUCGAACGGUAACAGGUCUUCGGAUGCUGACGAGUGGCGAACGGGUGAGUAAUACAUCGGAACGUGCCCGAUCGUGGGGGAUAACGCAGCGAAAGCUGUGCUAAUACCGCAUACGAUCUACGGAUGAAAGCGGGGGAUCGCAAGACCUCGCGCGGACGGAGCGGCCGAUGGCAGAUUAGGUAGUUGGUGGGGUAAAGGCUCACCAAGCCUGCGAUCUGUAGCUGGUCUGAGAGGACGACCAGCCACACUGGGACUGAGACACGGCCCAGACUCCUACGGGAGGCAGCAGUGGGGAAUUUUGGACAAUGGGCGCAAGCCUGAUCCAGCCAUGCCGCGUGCAGGAUGAAGGCCUUCGGGUUGUAAGCUGCUUUUGUACGGAACGAAAAGGUUCUUUCUAAUAAAGAGAGCUCAUGACGGUACCGUAAGAAUAAGCACCGGCUAACUACGUGCCAGCCGCCGCGGUAAGAC
rnacentral:rRNA from 1 species